rnacentral:rRNA from 1 species
UGGGGCGGCUAAUACAUGCAGUCGACGCUUUGUGGUUCAACUGAUUUGAAGAGCUUGCUCAGAUAUGACGAUGGACAUUGCAAAGAGUGGCGAACGGGUGAGUAACACGUGGGAAACCUACCUCUUAGCAGGGGAUAACAUUUGGAAACAGAUGCUAAUACCGUAUAACAAUGACAACCGCAUGGUUGUUAUUUAAAAGAUGGUUCUGCUAUCACUAAGAGAUGGUCCCGCGGUGCAUUAGCUAGUUGGUAAGGUAAUGGCUUACCAAGGCGAUGAUGCAUAGCCGAGUUGAGAGACUGAUCGGCCACAAUGGGACUGAGACACGGCCCAUACUCCUACGGGAGGCAGCAGUAGGGAAUCUUCCACAAUGGGCGAAAGCCUGAUGGAGCAACGCCGCGUGUGUGAUGAAGGGUUUCGGCUCGUAAAACACUGUUGUAAGAGAAGAAUGACAUUGAGAGUAACUGUUCAAUGUGUGACGGUAUCUUACCAGAAAGGAACGGCUAAAUACGUGCCAGCAGCCGCGGUAAUACGUAUGUUCCAAGCGUUAUCCGGAUUUAUUGGGCGUAAAGCGAGCGCAGACGGUUAUUUAAGUCUGAAGUGAAAGCCCUCAGCUCAACUGAGGAAUUGCUUUGGAAACUGGAUGACUUGAGUGCAGUAGAGGAAAGUGGAACUCCAUGUGUAGCGGUGAAAUGCGUAGAUAUAUGGAAGAACACCAGUGGCGAAGGCGGCUUUCUGGACUGUAACUGACGUUGAGGCUCGAAAGUGUGGGUAGCAAACAGGAUUAGAUACCCUGGUAGUCCACACCGUAAACGAUGAGUGCUAGGUGUUUGAGGGUUUCCGCCCUUAAGUGCCGCAGCUAACGCAUUAAGCACUCCGCCUGGGGAGUACGACCGCAAGGUUGAAACUCAAAGGAAUUGACGGGGACCCGCACAAGCGGUGGAGCAUGUGGUUUAAUUCGAAGCAACGCGAAGAACCUUACCAGGUCUUGACAUCCCUUGACAACUCCAGAGAUGGAGCGUUCCCUUCGGGGACAAGGUGACAGGUGGUGCAUGGUUGUCGUCAGCUCGUGUCGUGAGAUGUUGGGUUAAGUCCCGCAACGAGCGCAACCCUUAUUACUAGUUGCCAGCAUUCAGUUGGGCACUCUAGUGAGACUGCCGGUGACAAACCGGAGGAAGGUGGGGAUGACGUCAAAUCAUCAUGCCCCUUAUGACCUGGGCUACACACGUGCUACAAUGGCGUAUACAACGAGUUGCCAACCCGCGAGGGUGAGCUAAUCUCUUAAAGUACGUCUCAGUUCGGAUUGUAGGCUGCAACUCGCCUACAUGAAGUCGGAAUCGCUAGUAAUCGCGGAUCAGCACGCCGCGGUGAAUACGUUCCCGGGUCUUGUACACACCGCCCGUCACACCAUGAGAGUUUGUAACACCCAAAGCCGGUGGGGUAACCUUCGGGAGCCAGCCGUCUAAGGGAACAAA